rnacentral:lncRNA from 1 species
CACCACCCAUUCAUCUGUUGAUAGACAUUUGCGUUGCUUCCAUGUCUUGGCUAUUGUAAAUAGUGAUGCUGUGAACAUUGGGGUACAUGUAUCUUUUCAAAUUAGAGUUUUCAUCUUUUCUGGAUAUAUGUCNNNNNNNNNNAUCCCUGAUCUCAAAUGACUUAUGAUGAAAUAUGGACACACUUCUCCACACAAGACAAAAUUUGAUGUUACAUGCAAGCGGUAUAAAAGAAAGCAGGCAUAAAAAAAGAAGAAGCAGCCUACUGAUAAAGCUCAGAGGACUAAUUACCAUUCUAGAACCAAAUGCAUUCUUCUCAUCCUAGAACUUGGGAUCCAGUGGUGAAAUCAGCCUGGUCUAAUGGAGAAAGCAUUCUAGCCAAAUCAAAUGGAGG